CAGGGAAUCUUGCGCAAUGGGCGAAAGCCUGACGCAGCGACGCCGCGUGAGGGAUGAAGGCCUUCGGGUUGUAAACCUCUUUCAGGAGGGACGAAGCGAAAGUGACGGUACCUCCAGAAGAAGCCCCGGCCAACUACGUGCCAGCAGCCGCGGUAACACGUAGGGGGCGAGCGUUGUCCGGAUUUAUUGGGCGUAAAGAGCGUGUAGGCGGUUCGGUUAGUCGGAUGUGAAAGUCCGGGGCUCAACCCCGGGAGGCCAUCCGAUACUGCCGGACUUGAGGCAGGUAGGGGAGAGUGGAAUACCUGGUGUAGCGGUGAUAUGCGCAGAUAUCAGGUGGAACACCGAUGGCGAAGGCAGCUCUCUGGGCCUGUCCUGACGCUGAGACGCGAAAGCGUGGGGAGCGAACAGG
rnacentral:rRNA from 1 species